UACAGAGGGUGCGAGCGUUAAUCGGAAUUACUGGGCGUAAAGCGUGCGUAGACGGUUAUUUAAGUCGGGUGUGAAAGCCCCGGGCUCAACCUGGGAAUUGCAUUCGAGACUGAAUAGCUAGGGUACGGUAGAGGGAAGUGGAAUUUCCGGUGUAGCGGUGAAAUGCGUAGAUAUCAGGAGGAACACCGGUGGCGAAGGCGGGUCUCUGGGCCGAUAUUGACGCUGAGGAGCGAAAGCGUGGGGAGCGAACAGG
rnacentral:rRNA from 1 species